GUCUGAGUGGCCCAGUGGUUAAGGCAUCUGCUUUACAAUGUUGCGCAAACAACCAGUCUCGCAGAGGGUCGCGGGUUCGAAUCCCGUCUCGGAUA